UUAAUGUCUUGUAAUUGGAAUGAUGGGAAUUUAACCCUCUUCCAGAGUAUCAAUUGGAGGGCAAGUCUGGUGCCAGCAGCCGCGGUAAUUCCAGCUCCAAUAGCGUAUAUUAAAAUUGUUGCAGUUAAAAAGCUCGUAGUUGAAUUUCUGCUGCAUUUCAUUUCUCUUUCUGAGUUUGUUUUUGCGGCUUAUUUCGGUUUGAUUUUUUCUUUCCGGAUGAUUACUUUGAGAAAAUUAGAGUGCUCAAAGCAGGCUUUUGCCUUGAAUAGUUUAGCAUGGAAUAAUAAAGUAGGACUUUGGUUCUAUUUUGUUGGUUUUAGGUACCAAAGUAAUGGUUAAUAGGAACAGUUGGGGGCAUUCGUAUUUA
rnacentral:rRNA from 1 species